rnacentral:rRNA from 1 species
AGCGAACGCUGGCGGCAGGCCUAACACAUGCAAGUCGAACGAACCUUUCGGGGUUAGUGGCGGACGGGGGAGUAACACGUGGGAACAUGCCUUUAGGUUCGGAAUAACUCAGGGAAACUUGUGCUAAUACCGAAUGGGCCCUUCGGGGGGAAGAUUUAUUGCCUUUAGAGCGGCCCGCGUCCGAUUAGCUAGUUGGUUGAGGUAAUGGCUCACCAAGGCGGCGAUCAGUAGCUGGUCUGGGAGGAUGAUCAGCCACAUUGGGACUGAGACACGGCCCAAACUCCUACGGGAAGCAGCAGUGGGGAAUCUUGCGCAAUGGGCGAAAGCCUGACGCAGCCAUGCCGCGUGAAUGAUGAAGGUCUUAGGAUAGUAAAAUUCUUUCACCGGGGACGAUAAUGACGGUACCCGGAGAAGAAGCCCCGGCUAACUUCGUG